GGAUAACCCGGCUAAAGUCGGACUAAUACCGCAUGAAGCAGGGGCCCCGCAUGGGGAUAUUUGCUAAAGAUUCAUCGCUGAUAGAUAGGCAUGCGUUCCAUUAGGCAGUUGGCGGGGUAACGGCCCACCAAACCGACGAUGGAUAGGGGUUCUGAGAGGAAGGUCCCCCACAUUGGUACUGAGACACGGACCAAACUCCUA
rnacentral:rRNA from 1 species